GACACUUCACACCAAGGGCUAAAACCGAAUUAUCUUUGUGUGUCUGAGCUCUGUACAGUGUCUGCUUCUCAUUUUCUUUUCUUCCAUGUGUGUCGGGAGGCAUGCUGGUGUGGAUUCUUUCAUUUGCUUCCUGUGAAAACACAACCAUGCAAGGAAACUCUGUAAAGCAAAGCAAAAACAUAAAAGUCGUGAGGAGAGGCGACCAUAACGAUGUCAUAUUUUGUAAAAAAAACUUUUUUUUUUUUGUUUUCUGGCUGUGAGAUGGACCUUCUGGCCACGCUGGCCGAAUCGACCCCUUUACGGGGCUUAAGGGACUCGUGAGGCCUUGUUUGAGACAUGAUUGAUGACUGCGUGAAGCUUCCUGCCAGCCAUUUUUAGUCUUUUAAUACAUGUGCUCACGUGUUAAUGAUUUAUGUAAUAAAAAACAACAACAACAAAAAAAAGAGUCCCCUACACCCUGAGACUGAACACUCAUAUUAUCAUUUCCGUCUCUUACCUAAACAUGUAUUUAUUUUUUUAAAUCUCUGUGAAAUUUAAUGUAUAAUCCUGGAUUUUUCAAUAUUAAAACUUUCUAGUGGAAUUUAAAAAAAAAGAGAGAAACACCUUUGUAUUCUGAAGAACAAAAAGAGCCGAUGCAAUCGAUGAGAAAAGACGAACCGCAUGACGAUGUCAGACGCCCGUGUCGGUGAUGUCAUAGUGCUGACCGAUGAUGUCACGGCGUGUAUGUUUGUAAACAAACACGUGUCCGUUUUAUUUGUGUGCCCGUGUGCGUAACUCUGUGUCUUCUUCUUCUUCUUAGGAAUGCUGAACCUUCUUUUUUCUUUUCUUUUUUUUUUUUUCUCAUUUCGACCAAUCACAGGUUGCGUCUUCGGCCAGACGAUUUUACGACCCAAUCAUUACACGUUCAUAUCAACCCGAAAUAAAAUUUAAAGGCCUUUCGAGGACAAAAAAGGGACAUUGAGCUUUUACUCGUCGAGCUGCGUUCACCAAAGUGAGAACUUUUCAAACGUUUGAAAAUGUAAAUUAACGAGAGCUUAUAUUGUGCUUGGUAUUUAAAUAAAAGUGAAACAGCCGAGUGCGACGAUUUACCGCGCAUUUGUGUCGCUGAUUUUAAUGACUAUUUUUCCUUUUCUGUUUUCGAGGAAACUCUCGUGCGUGCUCGUUUUAAAACAGUUUUUAAGGGUACUCGAGUUUAAGAGGCGUGAGAAGAAAGCGGGCGUGUUACAUUGCGGUGUUUUUACGGAGCUGCUGCUGAAGUGGAGGAGAAUGUACAGCGACUUACUUGCCUUUGGCUGACAGGACUGGAAAAGCUUUGUGAUUUUUA